AACGGGAUUUAGUAAACAGAAGCCUCGGUGGAAGAUUACUAAUGAGAGUGGCGAACGGGUGAGUAACGCGUGAGCAACCUGCCUAUGACAGUGGGAUAGCCUCGGGAAACCGGGAUUAAUACCGCAUAAAAUCGUAGAAACACAUGUUUCAACGGUCAAAGAUUUAUCGGUCAUAGAUGGGCUCGCGUCUGAUUAGCUAGUUGGUGAGAUAACAGCCCACCAAGGCGACGAUCAGUAGCCGGUCUGAGAGGAUGAACGGCCACAUUGGAACUGAGACACGGUCCAAACUCCUACGGGAGGCAGCAGUGGGGAAUAUUGCACAAUGGGGGAAACCCUGAUGCAGCGACGCCGCGUGAACGAAGAAGGUAUUCGUAUCGUAAAGUUCUGUCCUAUGGGAAGAUAAUGACAGUACCAUAGAAGAAAGCUCCGGCUAAAUAC
rnacentral:rRNA from 1 species